UUAAAAAUAGAUCUGGUCCUAAAGAACCGUUGUUUAGAAGGCUGGUUCUUGGCGAAAUGCUGGUAUAGAGCAAAUCGGAUUUGGUACUUCAUGAAGUCGGGGCAGAUCAGGCAGGGUCUAAACUGUGUUGACUUUUCAAAAAGGAAAGUUUCUUUUACCUCCCUGCAGCAACAGCACCAGCCAGAUAUUCCGAUACAGAGAGGACCGGUCGCUCCUCCACGUGGCAACAAAUACCUGCUUGUCUUUAAUAAUGCAUCAGGGAUUAACGUUAUCCAACUGCACGGGACAACCAAAUCAAAAGUGGACUUGGAUAAUGGAGUAAUGAAAAACCAAGAGCUUUUGAAUUAGAGCGAAAGAAUUGUGUGAAAUAUGAAAGUGUGCAAAUACAUUAUUGUUCAAUUUUCAUUUUGUUACACUUCAAAAAUAUGUU